UCCCCCAGUAACGGCGAGUGAAGCGGGAAGAGCCCAGCACCGAAUCCCCCGGCCGAACGGUCGGCGGGAACUGUGGUGUGCGGGACGCCACCAGUCGCGCGGGCGGGCGCCGAAGUCCUCCUGAUCGAGGCCUCUCCCACGGUGGGUGUAAGGCCUUUACAGGUGCCUGCGCGCGCGGCCGCGAGCGUCCCAGGAGUCGGGUUGUUUGGGAAUGCAGCCCUAAGCGGGUGGUAAACUCCAUCUAAGGCUAAAUACUGGCGCGAGUCCGAUAGCGGACAAGUACCGUGAGGGAAGGUUGAAAAGAACUUUGAAGAGAGAGUUCAAGAGUACGUGAAACUGCCCAGAGGCAAACGGGCGGACCCGCAAAGUCGGCCGGCGGAAUUCASCCCGGCCGGGGGGAGGGGGUUGGCGUGUGCGGAUCUUCGGACCGUCGCGUCGGCUCUCCUUUCUCCGCCGGGUGCACUUUCCGUCGGCCGAGCGCCACGACCGGCUCCUGGCCGGCCAUGAGCCCGGUGAGGAAGGUAGGCGGGGAAGGAGUCUCUCUUUCUCCCGCUGUUACAGACUCGCCGCGGAUCGGGCCCGGUUUCGAGGGGGCCGAGGAACUUCCGUGCUCCGAUACCGGCCGCCGGGCCGAGGGCGGGGGUGCGACUGGCGGGGACUGGGCAACCGUGCCUGCCGACCGCCCCCGUUCGACGACACGGCGCGUCGCGGAGUGCCACGGGUCAG
rnacentral:rRNA from 1 species